CAGACAUCCCGCAUUUGUUAUUCGCAUAAAUCCGUUUAUGCACUCGUCCUCCUCGGUUCAAGUCUUCGACCUGAUGGAGAAAGAAUGGAGCUGUUAGAAAGCACCGUCACCCAGCAUCUCGUCUGUGACCGAACAGCGCUCUGUUUUGCAGGAGAAGAGCUGGCCUCAAAAUUAAAGGGUCAAUGCUGAAAUCUGUAACAAAAGAGGAUGAAGCGGUACCAUCAAGCACUGGAGGGGGCACUACAAUAUAAUUCUGCUUAGGGCACCUAUUUGGCCAGCAGCGGCCCUGUUGUGACGCCACAGAGCACAGUCGAAUAGUUUUGGAUGUUAGAAAGCACGGUAAAGCCGUGAAAUUCCGUGAAACAUUUUGUGGGUUUGCAGUAACAUUAGUGGUCUAAGACGAGAGUUGUUAGUGGUUUUCAGAGUGAUGAGACAGCGAAUUUCUCAAGUUAUUCCGGUGAAUGAUGGCGAGGUGUACAAUCAAUCACCAUCAUAGUAUACCCCCAACACCCAGCACCAUCACAGUGGAGAAACAUCCUCAUCCGCGAGAUGAACCCCCUGUCGGUGUGAAGACGCCCAGAGGAGUGUGUAGGAGGAAAAAGAGCUUCUGGAGCCUGCCCACUUUCCUCAGAGCAGCCAGAAAACACUUCAAGAUGACCUGCUCUGGUCAGACUGAGGUGCAGCUCACUGAGUCACCAUCACCAGCCAGCACCCCGAUGACAAACCAUUAACUGUCCAUCUUCUAGGCUGAUCAUCCAAGCCCCCUACCUGUGGAGAUCACCCUUGAUGCAGGUGAUAAGGGAUUAUAAAGCUGCUGGACUGGCAGGACUCGGGACAACUGUCAUGGUCCUCGAGUGUCCGUCGGCCUGCAAGAACUUAGUUCAUUUCUUGGAAGGCCACGGAGGCAGGCUCGAUAAAGGUAUAGUGGCGCAUCAUGCAGCAGGCGGCCCACAUGCCGCAUGUUCCAUAGUGACAUAAAGUUGGAAAACUUAAUUGUAAGCAAGGACACCCUUCAGGUCAGAUUGAUUGACUUUGGGAGCGGAGAGCUCCUGAGAAAGUCUGCCUACACAACAUUGUAUGGUAUCUAUUAUUCCUCAAAGCUGACAGAGAAAAGAGUUUGGUAAUGCAAAUUUGCAUACGAGAUGAAAUCUCUUUCCUCCAAGCACCGUGGACUACUACCCUCCUGAGUAUAGAGUCAAGGGCAAGUACCAUGUGAAGUCUGCAGUGACGUGGUCUCUUGGGGUCAUCUUGUUGACGAUGCUGUGUAGCCGUUUUCCAACUGGUGAGGACCUACACAAGACCGAACUAAACCUUUGGUCAGAGCCUGGAUUGUCAAAAGACUGCAGCCCCUUGAUCUGUAGCCUCCUGCAGCAUAAACCUAAGCAGCGGCUCGGUCUGGUUUCAGGUCUCCAUAAAAGUCGUGGAGAAAAGGAGCUCCAGCCCCAGACAUUUCCCCAGUGUCCUGUCAGCAUUGCGUCUUGCGGGCUAAAACUUUCUAUCCCUCCAUGAAACCUCUGCGUCUUGCGAGGCCAGCAGCAG